GACGAACGCUGGCGGCGUGCUUAACACAUGCAAGUCGAACGGAAAGGCCCUGCUUUUGUGGGGUGCUCGAGGGGCGAACGGGUGAGUAACACGUGAGUAUCCUGCCCUUGCCUUUGGGAUAACUUCAGGAAACUGGGGCUAAUACCGGAUAGGAGCUCCUGCUGCAUGGUGGGGGUUGGAAAGUUUCGGCGGUUGGGGAUGGACUCGCGGCGUAGCAGCUUGUUGGUGGGGUAGUGGCUUACCAAGGCUUUGACGGGUAGCCGGCCUGAGAGGGUGACCGGCCACAUUGGGACUGAGCUACGGCCCGGAGUCCUACGGGAGGCAGCAGUGGGGAAUAUUGCCCAAUGGGCGGAAGCCUGAUGCAGCAACGCCGCGUGCGGGAUGACGGCCUGCGGGUUGGAAACCGCUUUCGCCUGUGCCGAAGCGUGAGUGACGGUACUGGGUAAAGAAGCACCGGCUAACUACGUG
rnacentral:rRNA from 1 species